rnacentral:rRNA from 1 species
GACGAACGCUGGCGGCGUGCCUAAUACAUGCAAGUCGAGCGCAGGAAACUGACGGAACUCUUCGGAGGGAAGGCAGUGGAAUGAGCGGCGGACGGGUGAGUAACACGUAAGGAACCUGCCUCAAGGAUUGGGAUAACUCCGAGAAAUCAGAGCUAAUACCGGAUAGUUCAACGGACCGCAUGGUCCGCUGAUGAAAGGCGCUCCGGCGUCACCUUGAGAUGGCCUUGCGGUGCAUUAGCUAGUUGGUGGGGUAACGGCCCACCAAGGCGACGAUGCGUAGCCGACCUGGGAGGGUGAUCGGCCACACUGGGACUGAGACACGGCCCAGACUCCUACGGGAGGCAGCAGUAGGGAAUCUUCCACAAUGGACGAAAGUCUGAUGGAGCAACGCCGCGUGAGUGAUGAAGGUUUUCGGAUCGUAAAACUCUGUUGUAAGGGAAGAACACGUACGAGAGGGAAUGCUCGUACCUUGACGGUACCUUACGAGAAAGCCACGGCUAACUACGUGCCAGCCGCCGCCGUAAUAC